UACGGAGGGGGCUAGCGUUGUUCGGAAUUACUGGGCGUAAAGCGCACGUAGGCGGGCGAUUAAGUCAGGGGUGAAAUCCCGGAGCUCAACUCCGGAACUGCCUUUGAUACUGGUCGUCUAGAGAUCGGAAGAGGUGAGUGGAAUUCCCAGUGUAGAGGUGAAAUUCGUAGAUAUUGGGAAGAACACCAGUGGCGAAGGCGGCUCACUGGUCCGAUACUGACGCUGAGGUGCGAAAGCCAGGGGAGCAAACGGG
rnacentral:rRNA from 1 species